AAUUAAAAUGUCAUUCACGCUGUUGAGAAAAUGUCUGAAAUUAGGUAACAUGGAGCGGAAAUGUACAGAAAAUUCAUGUCAAAUGGAAAGGGUAUCACUUGCUCACUAGCCGUUGAGAGAAUGCUUGAAAAAGCAUGUGAUGAAAAUUCAAAUCUCAUGGAGCGUAUAACUAACUGGAGUAAACCAUGGUAUCCAGACCAUGUAAACCACGGUAUUUCUCUUACGGAGUUUAUUUUGAAGGGAGGGAUGGUAAUUGUUAGUCCUCUCAUUAUUUGUGCACAGAUGGGCAAAGGCACCCGCAAUUGCCUGUGUCGCAUUUGCAAUUUUAAGAUUAUAACCCUAACCUCUGUCAGACGAAUUAAUGUUUUUUUAUUUUUUUUCUUCUGUGAGUGCUUUGUUCUGUCUUUCUGUUCUUUCUUUCAUUAUUUUUUUUCCAAUACAAUGUUUGUUCAAUGUUUUGUUCUAUCUUUUCAUUAUUUCUUGUUUUUUUAAUCAAGAGUCUGUCUACAGUGUGCACACUAGUCUGUCUGUCAUGAUUUUUAUCUGUUAUUUGUUUUUUCCUUUUUCCUUUUUGUCACAUUUUGUGUGGUAGAAGAUGAAGUGGAAAAGCAGAGGAGGUAGGGAUCGGGAAAUACCAGUCGAUUGAGGGAAAAAUUCUACUUCCAGCGGGUCAUGGCACUGACAAUGGAAUCACUGGUGGGACCAUUUCUCAGAGGAGGCCUUGCUAAGCUCUUCAUGACUUCCUUUGAACCUGCUCACAGGCGAGCUGCACCAUCAACUUAGGGUCAGUUUCGUGGAAGUUGUACCAGAUCAAAGGGAGAAUUAUCUUCAGUGCCUUGAGCACGUUCAGCAGCAAGGACACAAUCCAGGUCUCUUGGGAGCUCAAUUAUCUGACUUAUCAGUGGGCAACCAGAAGAAAUUUUUGUCUCGGCAACAACAAUCUGCACUUUUGCAGCAGGUGGAUGUCAUUGUUUUGUUCGGGAAAAAAGCUUGUGGAGUGGGGCGUCUUACUUCUUGGAUUGUCUGUGGGUUGUAGUAACACAGAGAAGCUGCAAUUAUUGAAGUUGACAUGUUUGGUGAGGUUGACAUGAAUGAUUACAAACGGGCCCUGGCUGGCAGCAUGUUGCAGCGAAAAAAUUUCAGUUUGAUAAGAAGGAUCCUAAAGCAAACUGAACAUCAUGAUGUAUAAAAACAGCAAGAGAUAGAAUUAGGCUUCAAUCAUUUAUGUAUUUAAAUUUUGGUCAAGCAUAUUGACUUAAAGCUUUGUAAUAUGUACAAAUAUAGUGCUUAAUAAAAAGUAUUGGAAGGGGUUAAAAACCCCUUCUAAAGACUGAAAGGAAUAGUCAUUGGCCAUGGCUAUUCCUUGAGGUUGUUUUUGGCACCUUAAAGAAUGGUCAAUAGGCCAAGACCAUUCUUUAAGGUUUGUGUCU